CCUACGGGAGGCAGCAGUGGGGAAUAUUGCACAAUGGGCGAAACCCUGAUGCAGCGACGCCGCGUGAGUGAAGAAGUAAUUCGUUAUGUAAAGCUCUGUCAGCAGGGAAGAAAAUGACGGUAACUGAGUAUGAAGACACGGUCAAUUACGAGCCAGCAGCCGCGGUAUUACGUAGGGGGCAAGCGUUAUCCGGUUUUAAUGGGGGUAAAGGGAGCGUAGUCGGCAGUGCAAGUCUGGAGUGAAAGGCGGGGGCUCAACCCCCGGAGUGCACCGGAAACUGUACGACUGGAGUGCAGGAGAGGUAAGUGGAAUUCCUAGUGUAGCGGUGAAAUGCGUAGAUAUUAGGAGGAACACCAGUGGCGAAGGCGGCUUACUGGACUGUAACUGACGUUGAGGCUCGAAAGCGUGGGGAGCAAACAGGAUUAGAUACCCGAGUAGUC
rnacentral:rRNA from 1 species